rnacentral:tRNA from 1 species
GGGUGAUUAGCUCAGCUGGGAGAGCACCUCCCUUACAAGGAGGGGGUCGGCGGUUAUAUUUACCA